AUUGAACGCUGGCGGCAUGCUUUACACAUGCAAGUCGAACGGCAGCGCGGGCUUCGGCUUGGAGGCGAGUGGCGAACGGGUGAGUAAUGCAUCGGAACGUGCCCAGUUGUGGGGGAUAGCCCGGCGAAAGCCGGAUUAAUACCGCAUACGACCUGAGGGUGAAAGCGGGGGAUCGCAAGGCCUUGCGCUAUUGGAGCGGCCGAUGUCGGAUUAGCUGGUUGGUGGGGUAAAGGCUUACUAAGGCGACGAUCCGUAGCUGGUCUGAGAGGACGACCAGCCACACUGGGACUGAGACACGGCCCAGACUCCUACGGGAGGCAGCAGUGGGGAAUUUUGGACAAUGGGGGCAACCCUGAUCCAGCCAUGCCGCGUGCGAGAAGAAGGCCUUCGGGUUGUAAACCGCUUUUGUUCGGGAAGAAAUCCUCUGGGCUAAUACCCCGGGGGGAUGACGGUACCGGAAGAAUAAGCACCGGCUAACUACGUG
rnacentral:rRNA from 1 species